rnacentral:sRNA from 1 species
GCUGUGGUCAAUCCCGCAGCCGGGUUUAGCAGCCCGAACUCUCCGAGGCGCACCAGCGCCCAUCGAUCAAUGACAGGCGUUUUUUU